rnacentral:lncRNA from 1 species
GUGAGUUCUCCUGAAACCCAGACCUCCUUAUUUUAAGUCAAUGGUCCAGAGUUUUUAUGAGCUGUUUCAAACCCUAAGACUAGGUGUCUUAGGGGUACUGGUACAUACCCUAGGUAAGAGGAGCCUAGAAGGAACUUUGGAGUGAGUGGGGCAGGCUGAUAUUUUUAAUUUGGCUUUAAAUUGGAAAGAAUUGUGUUUAUAAGGUCUGAACAAACUGCUUGAUAGAGAAAUGAGAAACUGAACGUGUUCAGCUCCGAAGAAAAGGAACCCUGCUCUUCUCGGUCAAAAGGUAUUCUCAGUUUCUAAGGAGCUCUAUUCAAAUGACUGAAAAGAGCUCCUAGACCUUAAGGAUCAUGAACUAUAACCUGGAGAAUUUAUUUAUCUGAAGAAGCAUCAAAUAAAAGACUCUUUACAGCCUAGGUGGAAAGGACCACACCAGGACGAGAAGAAGAUGGCAUCUGCUGUAGACAGCUGUCCCAAGACUCCAGACCAGGUUUUGGAAUACUAUCAUACUUAAAGAAAGCGAUUGACUUGGAACAGACUGGUCUUGAAGGCCAGUGAUUUAUCAAGUGGCUCCAAAUGGAACUCAAUGGUUAUGUGGAACAAACCUCUGUCCUUGGCUGCCGCCUGGAUGGCUAAAACACUACACCUGAGCUUCCUUUAAAAGCAGGAAAGGAUUCACAUUGAGCUAAUACCUGUUGCCAACCUCCCUCUCUUUAAGGCCAGAUGGGCUCAUUCAGUGUUCCACUGGUAUGGCCACCAAGCGGCUAUAUUUUCUCUUUCUUUGGGGCUAAAAGAUGUCAUUAUCACAUGUAGAAGCCCUGACUAAAUUUAAUGAAGACCUUAAUGCUAGUCAAGCAGGAAUAGCCUUACUAAAUACUGAAAUGUCUUUAAUGAAAGAGACUAUCCUUCAAAACAGAAUGGCUUUAGAUAUUUUAACUGCAUUCCAAGGUGGUACAUAUGCACGCACUCAAACCAAAGGCUGUGCUUUAAUAUGUGAUGAAUCUUCCAAUGUGUCAUCCCUGCUAAAGCACACGAAGAAACAGGUGGAUGCCUUAUGCAAGCCCACACCCAGUCUUGAUUUGUUUGGUUGGCUCCCUUCCAGUAUUGGUUCCCUUUUUUGAUCCAGAUUGCAAUUCUUAUUUCUAUUACUUCUUGGAAUUCUUGUACUAGUCACAGUAUUCAAACUAGUUGUUUUCUUUACUCGGUGUUGUAAGACUGGCACACAAGCUAGAGUAAUGGUUACUUGGUGACUUGAGAUGGUGGAGCGAUCUUAUAACCCUGAACAAAUUUCCUUUUCUGAUAAGGACUAUGCCUAAGAAUUCAUUUUAGACUAAUCUUUUCAAAUAUAUGUUGAAUUAUUAUUAUUUUUACUGUACUAUUUCUGUGAUCAUAUACAAUGUAAACAUGAAGAGUCAUAGAAAAGCACAUGUACAAUGUUUGUGCAACAAUUUAAAAUUAAUUGAAAAUAUACAACCUAUGAAAUGCUUCCUCUAUUAAAAUAUAUACCACUGUGCUCGUCCACUAUAUCUGACUGUUCCUCCCCAAAGUGGACAACUGGGCAAAUAAAUGAGAUAAAAGCAUAGCACCGAGGGACAUGAUGGACCCAGGGCAGGCGGCAGCCACACUGGCCAUGAGGGACAAUAUUUUGAUCAUCAAUGCUUUCUAUCAAAAGCUUAUAGAUCAAAAGGAGAAAAAUGACAAACAAAUGGCAGGAAAUAGGAUAUAUUGGAGUAUAUGAGGAAGCCAUUUGGUGUUAACCUAAUUCCUACCUACCUUGUUUUUCCAAAAGGGAUUGAUGGGGCUGUUGAGCAUGCGUUGUAUAUCUGCUUUAAGUAUUUGCUAUGUCCCAUAGACAAGAACAAAUGGCCUUAAGAUAAAGGUGCAACUUCCCCC